CGUGACGCGAAAUAUAUAGGUAUUUCCACAGCCCAUUUGAGAGCUCACCUUCCAUACCACCUAACAGUGCAGAUUAAUUACCUGCGGUGGUGUACUCGUAACGGACAGCCGUUCACUCGUGAACUCCUGCGAACCUGUCAAAGGCGGCGUGUGCUUCUGACUGGUUAAGAUAUGUGUUUUUAUUUGUACCGUAAACCAUCCAAUAGUGAUCCUCCUUCCGUAGGUGAACCUGCGGAAGGAUCAUUAGUGGAAAGUUUACUUUACACUUAAACCAAACAUAUGUGAACCAAUCAUUAGUUCUUGAACGCCCAAGCCGAUCCUCAGUUGUGAGACAAGAUUUUGUUAUGUUAGAGUAAGUUACGACACACAGGUUCUAAACCACUGCAAAUUGCUUACCUGGCGAACCCUAGAGAUCGUAAGGGGAGAGUUAUAAGGCGAUAUAGGCAAUCAUUUAAGAUCAUUUCCGUAGGUGAACCUGCGGAAGGAUCAUUAGUGAUUGCCUUUAUAGUUCCGUAGGUGAACCCACGGACACAUCAGAAACGUAAUAUUAUUACACACAAGUUGAGUAUUUUAAAAAACAAUGAGUAAAAAACGUUGUUUUACUAUGAAAUUAAUAAAACUCAACAACGGUUCGUC
rnacentral:rRNA from 1 species